ACAAGGCGCAGGGAGUGGUCACUGGCUUUAUAAAUCACCUGAAGGAGAGUCCAUGUUGUGCUGAGCAGUGAGGUCUGUGCUGUAGUGGGUUUGUAGAAAGAGUCAGAAUGAAGCCUGUUGCAGUGAUUAAGAAAAGAGGACAGAGGACCUGGCUUCAUCCAAAAAAGGGGAUACAGAAACCUACAAAGGCCUACAAGAAGUACCUUGGAAAAGUCUAUGGCCAGGCCCAGCAGGACCAGAGCCAUUGUGCACUGGAUGUUCUUAUCCGACAGAAUAUCUGCAUUGAUGGCUUCAGGCUGAUAGCGUCAGAAGCUGCACGACUCUCCCACUGCAGAAGCAGGAACAAUGUAACCAGACGGAUCUGCUCCGCUCUGACAGAACUGUACCCGGCCAGGUGCCAGGAGCCCCCAGUGAGGGAUGGCCUGGGCUCUGAUCUUGUGGCUUAUCAGUCUUAAAUAAAUAGUUUACUGUAUGUUGCCUGCAAAAGCUGUUUUAAUAGUAGCACUGUAAUGAAUGGGAUAACAAAGUUGUUGUUUUUUUGUUUGUUUUUUUUUUAGUUUUUAUUACACUUUAAUAAAUAUUUUUAGUAAUCUGA